rnacentral:misc_RNA from 1 species
AAGUCGUAACAAGGUCUCCGUAGGUGAACCUGCGGAGGGAUCAUUAACACGUUUCCAAAACGUUUAUCAACCCAAUCACCGUGAACUAAAACAACUCCCUUUAUAAUGUGACGAGCGAAUAAUCAUCAGGGUGGAGUCUUGGGAAACUAAGACUAUGACUCGCUCUAGGGAUCCUUGAGAUCUCAAUCCAUUAUAAAGUGUCUUUGCGACCACCUGGCAGUCUGCAUUUUCGGAUGUAGCGUUCUGCCGAAUACUUUCACAACAUUUUUAACCCCUUUAACAACAUACUAAUAACUGAACCAUUUUUUCUACAUGACAUAUUCGUAUGACAUGUGAAAAAAGAUAUACGUAAUGCUGAACAACUCUUAGCAAUGGAUAUCUUGGUUCUC